GCCUUCAUGGUGUAGUGGUCAGCACAAUAGGCGCGUAUUCCAGAGGCCCGUGGUUCGAGUCUCGGCGAAGGCG
rfam:Stegodyphus mimosarum contig83675, whole genome shotgun sequence.